UGAGGAAUAUUGCACAAUGGGGGAAACCCUGAUGCAGCGACGCCGCGUGAAGGAAGAAGGCUUUCGGGUUGUAAACUUCUUUUAAGGGGGAACAGUAGAAGAGGGUACCCCUUGAAUAAGCCACGGCUAACUACGUGCCAGCAGCCGCGGUAAUACGUAGGUGGCAAGCGCUGUCCGGAUUUACUGGGUGUAAAGGGCGUGCAGCCGGAGAGACAAGUCAGAUGUGAAAUCCGCGGGCUUAACCCGCGAACUGCAUUUGAAACUGUUUCCCUUGAGUAUCGGAGAGGUAAUCGGAAUUCCUAGUGUAGCGGUGAAAUGCGUAGAUAUUAGGAAGAACACCAGUGGCGAAGGCGGAUUACUGGACGACAACUGACGGUGAGGCGCGAAAGCGUGGGGAGCAAACAGGAUUAGAUACCCUGGUAGU
rnacentral:rRNA from 1 species